rnacentral:rRNA from 1 species
CCUACGGGGGCAGCAGUGGGGAAUAUUGGACAAUGGGGGCAACCCUGAUCCAGCCAUGCCGCGGGUGUGAAGAAGGCCCUCGGGUUGUAAAGCACUUUCAGUGAGGAAGAACGCCUGGUGGUUAAUACCCAUCAGGAAAGACAUCACUCACAGAAGAAGCACCGGCUAACUCCGUGCCAGCAGCCGCGGUAAUACGGAGGGUGCGAGCGUUAAUCGGAAUUACUGGGCGUAAAGCGCGCGUAGGUGGCUUGAUAAGCCGGUUGUGAAAGCCCCGGGCUCAACCUGGGAACGGCAUCCGGAACUGUCAAGCUAGAGUGCAGGAGAGGAAGGUAGAAUUCCCGGUGUAGCGGUGAAAUGCGUAGAGAUCGGGAGGAAUACCAGUGGCGAAGGCGGCCUUCUGGACUGACACUGACACUGAGGUGCGAAAGCGUGGGUAGCAAACAGGAUUAGAUACCCUUGUAGUC